UAAGGCUGAGAUACGAUGUCGAGUCACUACGGUGAUGAAGUCAUUGAUGCCAUGCUUCCGGGAAAAGCUUCUAAGCUUCAGAUUAUAAGGAAUCGUACCCCAAACCGACACAGGUGAUCAGGUAGAGAAUACCAAGGCGCUUGAGAGAACUCGGGUGAAGGAACUAGGCAAAAUGGUACCGUAACUUCGGGAGAAGGUACGCUCCUAGCGGUGAUGAGACUUGCUCUCUAAGCUGCCGGGAGUCGCAGAUACCAGGUGGCUGCAACUGUUUAUUAAAAACACAGCACUGUGCAAAAUCGAAAGAUGACGUAUACGGUGUGACGCCUGCCCGGUGCCGGAAGGUUAAUUGAUGGGGUUAGCGGUAACGCGAAGCUCUUGAUCGAAGCCCCGGUAAACGGCGGCCGUAACUAUAACGGUCCUAAGGUAGCGAAAUUCCUUGUCGGGUAAGUUCCGACCUGCACGAAUGGCGUAAUGAUGGCCACGCUGUCUCCACCCGAGACUCAGUGAAAUUGAAAUCGCAGUGAAGAUGCUGCGUCCCCGCGGCUAGACGGAAAGACCCCGUGAACCUUUACUAUAGCUUGGCACUGAACAUUGACCCUACAUGUGUAGGAUAGGUGGGAGACUGUGAAAUAAUCGCGCUAGCGGUUAUGGAGUCGUCCUUGAAAUACCACCCUUGUAUGCUUGAUGUUCUAACGUCGACCCCUUAUCGGGGUUACGGACAGUGCCUGGUGGGUAGUUUGACUGGGGCGGUCUCCUCCCAAAGAGUAACGGAGGAGCACGAAGGUGGGCUAAUCACGGUCGGACAUCGUGAGGUUAGUGCAAUGGCAUAAGCCCGCUUGACUGCGAGACUGACAAGUCGAGCAGGUGCGAAAGCAGGUCAUAGUGAUCCGGUGGUUCUGAAUGGAAGGGCCAUCGCUCAACGGAUAAAAGGUACUCCGGGGAUAACAGGCUGAUACCGCCCAAGAGUUCAUAUCGACGGCGGUGUUUGGCACCUCGAUGUCGGCUCAUCACAUCCUGGGGCUGAAGUCGGUCCCAAGGGUAUGGCUGUUCGCCAUUUAAAGUGGUACGCGAGCUGGGUUUAGAACGUCGUGAGACAGUUCGGUCCCUAUCUGCCGUGGGCGUUGGAUGAUUGAGAGGGGCUGCUCCUAGUACGAGAGGACCGGAGUGGACGAACCGCUGGUGUUCGGGUUGUGUCGCCAGACGCAUUGCCCGGUAGCUAAGUUCGGAAUCGAUAACCGCUGAAAGCAUCUAAGCGGGAAGCGAGCCUCAAGAUGAGUCAUCCCUAGACCUUUAAGGUCUCUAAAGGGUUGUUGAAGACUACAACGUUGAUAGGUCGGGUGUGUAAGUGCUGUGAGGCAUUGAGCUAACCGAUACUAAUUGCCCGUGAGGCUUAACCAUACAACACCCAAGGGGUUU
rnacentral:rRNA from 1 species